rnacentral:sRNA from 1 species
UUGGCAGCCCUGGAGACUGAUAUCCUCAGUCCAUAUGCAUAGAUACAGCACAAGCAGUGGCAGUCCAAGCUUCCCCCCAACAUACCACCCCCCUGACAUUUCUCACACCUGGCCUAGAGUGAGCCCAUCAGUGGUGACAGCACAGUCCAGCCUCCAGGGUCCAUUCAAUCCUGGGCCUCU